AUGGAUGAAGGAAGAAAUUUAGCAACACUUUUCCCGCAGGAUCUCUUGCAAGAAGAAAAUAAUCUCCAAAUUCGACUUGUCAAUUUUAUUUCUCAUGAAAAUAGCAAGUUAACUCAAAGAAUUUAUCACACAAAUAGUCAAUUUGUUAGAACUUUCUUAGUAGUGAAUUGGGAACAAGAAGAAAAAGAAAAGGCUGGUGCUUCCCUUGUUGAGGUAAGAGCAAAUGAUCUUAUUCGCGAUUUCCUAAGAAUUGAGUUAGUCAAGUCCACUAUUUCGUAUACACGAAAAAGGUAUGGUAGGACAAGUGCAGGACCGAUUCCCCAUAAUAGGUUAGAUCGCGCCAAUAUCAAUUCUUUUUAUUCCAAGGCAAAGAUUGAAUCACUUAGUCAACAUCCAGAAGCUAUUGGCACUUUGUUGAAUCGAAGAAUACCACUCUUUGAUGAUUUUGUGGGCAUCCAACUGUUCUCGAAUUGGUUUAUUCAAGAAUUCAAAACAUCCCAAUGCGAUAAAAGAAUGGAAUCCUAG
rnacentral:rRNA from 1 species